ACGGAGUUACAAAGGACGACAUUAGACGAAUCAUCUGGAAAGAUGAAUCAAAGAAGGUAAUAAUCCUGUAGUCGAAAAUGUUGUCUCUCUUGAGUGGAUCCUGAGUACGACGGAGCACGUGAAAUUCCGUCGGAAUCUGGGAGGACCAUCUCCUAAGGCUAAAUACUCUCUAGUGACCGAUAGUGAACCAGUACCGUGAGGGAAAGGUGAAAAGCACCCCGGAAGGGGAGUGAAAUAGAACCUGAAACCGUGUGCUUACAAGUAGUCAGAGCCCGUUAAUGGGUGAUGGCGUGCCUUUUGUAGAAUGAACCGGCGAGUUACGAUUUGAUGCAAGGUUAAGCAGUAAAUGUGGAGCCGUAGCGAAAGCGAGUCUGAAUAGGGCGUUUAGUAUUUGGUCGUAGACCCGAAACCAGGUGAUCUACCCUUGGUCAGGUUGAAGUUCAGGUAACACUGAAUGGAGGACCGAACCGACUUACGUUGAAAAGUGAGCGGAUGAACUGAGGGUAGCGGAGAAAUUCCAAUCGAACCUGGAGAUAGCUGGUUCUCUCCGAAAUAGCUUUAGGGCUAGCCUCAAGUGAUGAUUAUUGGAGGUAGAGCACUGUUUGGACGAGGGGCCCCUCUCGGGUUACCGAAUUCAGACAAACUCCGAAUGCCAAUUAAUUUAACUUGGGAGUCAGAACAUGGGUGAUAAGGUCCGUGUUCGAAAGGGAAACAGCCCAGACCACCAGCUAAGGUCCCAAAAUAUAUGUUAAGUGGAAAAGGAUGUGGCGUUGCCCAGACAACUAGGAUGUUGGCUUAGAAGCAGCCAUCAUUUAAAGAGUGCGUAAUAGCUCACUAGUCGAGUGACACUGCGCCGAAAAUGUACCGGGGCUAAACAUAUUACCGAAGCUGUGGAUUGUCCUUUGGACAAUGGUAGGAGAGCGUUCUAAGGGCGUUGAAGCAUGAUCGUAAGGACAUGUGGAGCGCUUAGAAGUGAGAAUGCCGGUGUGAGUAGCGAAAGACGGGUGAGAAUCCCGUCCACCGAUUGACUAAGGUUUCCAGAGGAAGGCUCGUCCGCUCUGGGUUAGUCGGGUCCUAAGCUGAGGCCGACAGGCGUAGGCGAUGGAUAACAGGUUGAUAUUCCUGUACCACCUAUAAUCGUUUUAAUCGAUGGGGGGACGCAGUAGGAUAGGCGAAGCGUGCGAUUGGAUUGCACGUCUAAGCAGUAAGGCUGAGUAUUAGGCAAAUCCGGUACUCGUUAAGGCUGAGC
rnacentral:rRNA from 1 species